UCCUCAGGCUGUGGGGCAGAGGCCGGCGGCGCUGUCGGGUUCCUUUGAAAUUGGAAGGAAAUUCACCAAUGUGCAGCUGCGAAAGGGAUUUUUCGGCUGUAAUCCCGUUGUUGAGAUGCCGGAGAUUUCUAAAACUGCUGGUGGUGGAGGCGUUGUUCAGUGAUAGAAAAAGUUACAGGUUCGCCACCGUGAAAGCCGCGCGUACUUACGGUGUUUCUCAGCCAGGGUUUGUUUCGGCAGCGAAAAAAAUGAAAAAAAGCAGUGAAUGCUGGUUUGAAUUGCACAGAGGAUCCAAAUUAUGCAUCUGGAGGUGAGGCUUGGUUAUGUUUUCCGCUCUGAGCCACAAGGAAUAAGGUCAGAAAAACUUAAAAGCUCUGAUUCAGGCUCACAUAAUAAAAGUAUAAUUGAUGUGACAGUAUAUUUUCAGUCACAAAACAAAUUCAGCUACUUCAUGUGGGCCAGUUAUGAAAUAAUAUAAUGAAUCAGUUCUCAAGACCUGAAAUUUUAAUUGACCUUUAUCAAUAUCUAGUAUUUAUAGAUUUGCAGUACCUCAGAAACCUUUUCCACUCAUCCUUUUGCUGUCAUGCCUGCUGUAAAUAUCAGGGCACAGCAAAAGCAUGGAAAGGGCAACAAAGAAUAAUAACAUGGCAGAGGAUUGAGGGGUGGGUAUGGCAGCCACAGACAGAAGUAGGUUGCUAUUCUGUUUUAGAAAAAAGCAGAGAUUUAUGAAUAGAAGCAGCAGAUUAAUGUCAGUUUUAAAGCAAUAAACAACAUUCUGUCUGUGCUGAUCCCCAAUACACACCCAGGGCAAUUUUGUAUCUCCAGCUGGCAAUUACACAGCCAUGAAGUUGGAGCUGUGAAAGGUCAGCCAACCCCUGGGUGACACGUGCUGAGGUGUUGGACACCGUCUGUGGUGAGCAGAAGAGAAGGAACAAGAGAUGGGUAAUGAUAAACUGGAGAUCUCUGUAAGAGAGGUCUGAACAUAUUUGCAGCUUUGAUGAGUUUGUCACUCAGUAACUUACAUGUGCAUAGCCUUUUUAAUGUUGUGUUUUCAGUCAUCAGAUCUAAUGGAAAACAUGGAAAACACUAAAAUACAGCUUCAGAAGAGGUGGGCUUUAAGGGAUCAUGGAGGGGACAACAAGACGAGAAUGACUUCAGUGAUUUUGGAGCAGUUGUCUUCAACCUUUGAGUGAUGAUUUCUGAAUUCCCUUGGGAAUAUGGGCUCAUGGGGCUGACUGGAAAAUCAAAUAUCAUCACAGGGAGCUUAUGGGAAAAACCAACAACAACAAACACAGCAGCCAGUGGAAUGGCAACAAACCAGAUGAAUUUGUGGUAACCACAGCAGAUGUGGAAGCUGGAAGACAAGGAAAGGCAAAUAAGUGGAUUUGUGAGGUACUGAGAGAGGAAAUGUCUUUGAAAGCAACAGGAGGUAGAAAUUCUCUAGACUUGAUCUAUUCACCAAGGCAGAGCUGAGAGGUUUGAGGGCAGCCAGUGGUGUUUAGGUGUCCUGAGGAAUGCUGCAUUGAUCCCUUUCUGUUUCAGUGAGCUGGGAAAGAUGGGACACCCUGCAAGCAGAGGGACAUCAAAGGCUCUUACCAGGUGACAGUGGUGCCAGGCACACGUGGCAUUUGUGUGCCAGGGCAUCAGCAAGCACUCCUCAUGGGUAGUAAUCCACUCUGCUGACUGGUUGGGUCAGCUUCCCAUGGAAUUGCUACAAAUUCCAAUGUAGAGACAGCCUGCAAGACCCCAUUGAAAUAGCAUUUUCUAGGUGUUUAAAAUAUAAUAUAGUUAAAAUAAAAUAUAGUUUAAAAUGUU